rnacentral:tRNA from 2 species
GGGCCUGUAGCUCAGCUGGUCAGAGCGCCGCGCUUACACCGCGGAGGUCGCCGGUUCGAAACCGGCCGGGCCCACCG